GGGCCGUUAACUCAGUUGGUAGAGUAUCUGCCUUUUAAGCAGAGAGUCGCCGGUUCAAGUCCAGCACGGCCCA
rnacentral:tRNA from 1 species